rnacentral:rRNA from 1 species
GACGAACGCUGGCGGCGUGCUUAACACAUGCAAGUCGAACGAUGAAGCUGGAGCUUGCUCCGGUGGAUUAGUGGCGAACGGGUGAGUAACACGUGAGAAAUCUGCCCUUCACUCUGGGAUAACUGCGGGAAACUGUAGCUAAUACCGGAUACUUUCCCUGGUGGGCAUCCACUAGGGAAGAAAGAAUUUCGGUGAAGGAUGAACUCGCGGCCUAUCAGCUAGUUGGGGAGGUAAUGGCUCACCAAGGCGACGACGGGUAGCCGGCCUGAGAGGGUGACCGGCCACACUGGGACUGAGACACGGCCCAGACUCCUACGGGAGGCAGCAGUGGGGAAUAUUGCACAAUGGGCGAAAGCCUGAUGCAGCAACGCCGCGUGAGGGAUGAAGGCCUUCGGGUUGUAAACCUCUUUUAGCAGGGAAGAAGCGAAAGUGACGGUACCUGCAGAAAAAGCACCGGCUAACUACGUGCCAGCCGCCGCCGUAA